CAGUUGACACAAGCCUGCGAGUCUUGGUUUUCGGAAAAAAGGAGGAAUGGCUCGAAUCUCAUGUCUUGAUCAACCAUGGACCUACAACUCAACAUCGCCCAGUCCCGAUUUCACGUCGGCACUAACUCAUUGCCACACCGAGGGGGUUAUUGUAGCUGCUGCAAUGUGAUUUAAAAGGAAAUCUGCUCAAUGAUUGUCUCUGAUGCAAGUCUUUGGCGAUCAACUCUUCUGAGAAGACGGGGAGAAAGUUCACCAGAGCAUCUAAACAGCG